UAUACAUUAGGUGGUACGCUAGUUAAAAUGUUGGAUGCUCAGAAAACGCUUUAUUCGUAUUUUGCGACGGGCCAUCAACGUGAUCAACCUAAAGUGCAUGAACAUGCUAAUAAUAAUGAUAGAUCUAAUAUGCCUUCUGCGGAGCAGGCGCAUUGUUCAAUCAGCUUGUUGGAACAUGCCGCUGAAGUGUCAAAAGAUUCGGCUAGAGCUACAACAUGAUCGGGCUAUCCAGACCCGGCACACAUCACAGUCCGUUCUGAAGACUCGCUAAAGUUAGCAUUACUGGAGAAUGACUUGGACUGGACUAAAGCGUAUACAUUUCCAAAUAAUGUCCCAGAGCGGAUUUAGACCAGGGACCAGUCUUCCUAUCCGGUAUUGUCGGAGUACAUGUGUACGAAGUCAACGUGUUGAGGUCUUGUGUGGAUAGUCGACGUGGACAACCCAGUGUGAUCGUCAGUGGCUUGAGAUGGCCGUAGUGAGCUCCAGUGUAGCGGUUUACUGUUGUAUCUUGAACAGUAGGACAGACGUAACUAUUGGAACGAGCGUGACUAGUGACUAUUGAUACUAUUGUAAAUGAAUGUUGAAGACAGAAACGUUCAGAUGUGUAUUUUGCAGCGCUGAGACUUUUCCCUAGAUGAACUGAGAUGUAUUUUAGUUCAUCGAGACAUUUUUGUAUACAUUAUUUUGGGGAUGGGUUUAGUUUUGGUGUAUUAUAGAGUGUGAUGUGUGAUAUUCAUUUGUAUAUAUUUUGUAAUUAAAUUAUUUGAAUAUCACUUAGCCUUAGCAAUAAAAGACUAAUAACACAUGCAA